GAUGAACGCUGGCGGCGUGCCUAAUACAUGCAAGUCGAGCGAACGGACGAGAAGCUUGCUUCUCUGAUGUUAGCGGCGGACGGGUGAGUAACACGUGGAUAACCUACCUAUAAGACUGGGAUAACUUCGGGAAACCGGAGCUAAUACCGGAUGAUAUUUUGAACCGCAUGGUUCAAAAGUGAAAGACGGUCUUGCUGUCACUUAUAGAUGGAUCCGCGCUGCAUUAGCUAGUUGGUAAGGUAACGGCUUACCAAGGCAACGAUGCAUAGCCGACCUGAGAGGGUGAUCGGCCACCCUGGCACUGAGACACGGUCCAGACUCCUACGGGAGGCAGCAGUAGGGAAUCUUCCGCAAUGGGCGAAAGCCUGACGGAGCAACGCCGCGUGAGUGAUGAAGGUCUUCGGAUCGUAAAACUCUGUUAUUAGGGAAGAACAUAUGUGUAAGUAACUGUGCACAUCUUGACGGUACCUAAUCAGAAAGCCACGGCUAACUACGUG
rnacentral:rRNA from 1 species